rnacentral:rRNA from 1 species
AACGAACGUUGGCGGUGUGGAUUAGGCAUGCAAGUCGCGCGCGAAAGCCUUCGGACAAGUAAAGCGGCGGACGGGCGAGUAACGCGUAGUCAACCUACCCUCGAGACCGGAAUAGCCACUGGAAACGGUGGGUAAUGCCGGAUUGCCCCGCGGAUUGGCAUCUAACUGCGGGUAAACGGUGGCGUAAGCUGCUGCUCGGGGAGGGGAUUGCGUCCUAUCAGCUUGUUGGUGAGGUAACGGCUCACCAAGGCUAUGACGGGUAGUUGGUCUGAGAGGACGACCAGCCGCACUGGGACUGAGACACUGCCCAG